ensembl:lncRNA
GGUUACGGUUUGGUGUAUGGUGUGACUCAAAUAUUGCAAAACUAUGACAACACUACAAUGCGAUUGGUCAAUUCACAAUGUAAAACAUGAACCAACAUUAGUUUUUUUGCUCCAGGAGCAACACCAACACAAUGCUAUCAGAUUCAGCGACUACAGCCAUGUGUAAAAUAUGGUGUAUGGCAGUGGUCCACAACAUACUCUCAAUGCAGUCAAACCAUACCUAGAAAAACACAUGGAUUGGCCGUGCCAACACAUUCUCAUCCCAAAGCCUAACAUUCUAUGCUAGGUGACAAAUUGUCAACAUAUUACAUUUUCGGCCACCCAACACAUUACUAAAUGACGACAUCGGAAAAAUUAGGAAAUAUGACAACCCUUUGGACUCAAUCUACACAUGCUCGUUCAUUUUUUAUUUUUUUUUUUUAAACUCUUCCGAAAACACUAUUUCACAUCAUUAAACUGCUGGUUAAGGUUAGGAAUAAGGUUAGGGUUAGGGAGAAGGUUAGGUUUAGGGCUGGAAUACAUGGCUGCAAUGUUUACUACUGCAGGAGCGUUAUUCCACUGGAUUUCAUCCAUAACCCGGCGCAUACCAUUAGAACGAGGAAGGUCACCUUUCGUGUUCCUCAGGAAUGCCGCGGGACGUGACAAAACGUCGGGAUGAAGCCGGACCUCAACAUCAAUGAAGCAGUGUGGAACCAUGUUGAUGGACAAUGGAACAAAAAGCAGCCAACAUCCAAAGAAGAACUUUGAAUGUCCUUCAAGAAGUCUGGAGAACUUUUCCGGAAGACUACUUAAAGAAAUGACAAGAAAGCUGGCCUAAGAGAGCUCAGGCUGUGUUGCCGAAGAAAGGUGGACUUUCAAGUUUAUUAGUAUUGUUAACUGUUUUUGCCUUAUGUGCUUUAUUCUAUAUUUGCAUAUGUUUAAAAAUAAUUGCUGCACCUUUUUUCCCAUUUUCCUACAAAAAUACAAAGAAAUAAGGAGUGAGUCAAGACACAGUACUGUGUAUAGACAGAUAAAGUAGCUAGUGGAUACAAGAUACAAGUUUCUUCAAUUGAAGGCCAGUCUUGGUUUAAUUACAAUGCAGGCAACAUGUUUACACAUAGGCACACAAAAUAUUGAGCAGUCAGUUUUUAGCAAGAAAUUUCACUUUCACCAAAUAAAUAUGAAACAUCUUUCUGGCAUCAAGAUACAUGACUUUAUACAGUAAAGCCUAGAACAUGAAAGAAAAAUACAAACGACCAAAUGUGGACUUUAAUAUUUACAUAAAGUGAUGACCUAAAAGGCCUGACAAUGCAGAGAAAACAUAUUUUAUGACUCUGUAAUAAAAACUGGGCUGCCAAGUGUACAGUGCAACAUAUUUGUGAAUGAGUGUUUCACUAUCAAUGUACAGAGGCCGCUUCGAUAAGUAAAUUAGCUUUUCAGUUUCUUCUGGUGUGCUAGAAAGUUUUAGAAGCCUGGCUUAUUGUUAUCGCUGUUAUUAUCAUAGGACACACUCCUAUUCUCUGCAUUUUCAAUCUCAGCGCUAGUAGUUGGUUAAAAAAAACAAAAAACAAUGUGAAACCUGUCUUUAAGGUUUAUGGCUUCCCCACAACUACAGCUGCUCCAACACUGCAAUAUUUAAGUGGUGAGAAUGUGGGAACACAGAGAACAAUCCAAGGUGGAGACUCUGUAUCAAAACUUACCUAACAAAAAAACCCCACCACAACAAGAACUGAUACACUUCCAAAUAUUUCUGCAGAACAUUUUUACUACAAGGUGCCAAACUGUCUUCUGUCUGGGCCAAAAAUAUCAUCCAAGAUCAACAUGUACACUGAGGAAAUUACAUGAUAUUAUCUUUCAGCACUUUUUCCAGAAAUGUUUAAAUCCACAAAAUGGAAAGGAAAGGGACUCACCACAUCAUCAGUUGAAAUAUGGUACAUAACAAAUAUGUAGAACAAUGUAUCUAAAUAAAUAAAUGAAUAUAAAUAAAUGCUGUGCGAGUAUCAAAUGCACCAGUUGUCUUAAUUGCUGACACAUCAAGUCUUCUCAUGAACAUGUGAAUGAUAAAGAGUUUUUUUUAAGUCCAUGAAGCAUUUGUGUCAUAGUCUAAUAUUAACAGAUAAGUUGUGUUCACAAUGUUCUUGUUUGAUAGGAGCAAUUUCUUUACUCUCACUCAUGCUAAUCGUGCCCUCAUAUAAAACUGGAGUCUUGCCGGGAUAAUCAAAGCGAUUGCUUCAUUGUUAUGCAACACUGGCUGUAGGCCAUUGUUGACUUGUUAUAGGAAAAUCUGGGAACAUUUAUUUGGAACAAACUCACAUUCCUGUGAGAACAC